AAAAUGGCAAUAUAAUGAUUUGAAGAUAGAUAGAUAGAAAUUCUGCCCGGUACAACGAAAUAUUCAUGCACCGGCCCGACUGAUGAACUAAUUGCUGAUAAAUGAACAAUAAUUGCAUGAUGAGUGAUUAUAGAGACCGGACCAAUAAUUUUGUAGGUUCGGUAGAAAGAGAGUUCAAACUGUAAAAUAUUUCUUGAAUCUUGUGCAGACUUUGUUUAAUAAUAUUAAUGAAAAGAAGGGAGAGAGCAAGCUUUUUUGUAAUGCAGAGGAAUUUUGUUCCCUCCUUCUAAAGAUCACUUGCUAAAGCUCUAGUCUAGACUAAUCAACUAUUUUUUCGGUAAGUU